rnacentral:tRNA from 1 species
GGGGAUAUAGCUCAGCAGGCAGAGCAGGAAAGAUAGCUGUAAAAUCUAUAGUCAAGGGUUCGAUUCCCCUUAUCCCCA